UACGUAGGCAGCAAGCGUUGUUCGGAAUUACUGGGCGUAAAGAGCGUGUAGGCGGUACAUUAAGUUGGGUGUAAAAGGCAGCGGCUCAACCGCUGUAAGCAUCCAAAACUGGUGAACUUGAGUGCAGAAGAGGAAAGUGGAAUUCCCGGUGUAGCGGUGGAAUGCGUAGAUAUCGGGAGGAACACCAGUGGCGAAGGCGACUUUCUGGUCUGUAACUGACGCUGAGACGCGAAAGCGUGGGUAGCAAACAGG
rnacentral:rRNA from 1 species